rnacentral:lncRNA from 1 species
UUAUUCUCAUUUAAAGGACCAAAGGUCAAUUAAAAUAGAAAAAAAAAAAUAAGCGUUGAUAUUGAACUCCGAGUCGUCAUCUUCUUCAUCCUUGUUUCUCUGCUUCGUCUUGUCUCCUCCAUCUUCUUCCCCAACUACAAGUUUUGCAUAUUUUUUUCCCAAUACAAUAUAGAUCACUAUGCGCACAAUUUAGUAGUCCAUCACGACACUGAUAUUCUCGGCUUCAAAAACCUAUUACAUGUGAACAAUACCUACAACAGCCAACACAAACAAGAAGAUUUGCCAAGAAAAAGGCUUCAAACGAGGCAAAGGACUGGUAUAAAUUACUAUGUAGCAGUAAAAUUGAAGGUAUUUUGUUUUCGAGCUAUUCAAAUCUUUACUUUGAGAUAUCAAAAUUUCAAUUUUUCUCCGAAUUGUUGGUCAACACAACCGAUCUCGUUUGACCGGAUACGACACAGAUCCUACACCCUUAUCCAUGUCAGUGUCGUGUCGACACAGGUGCAACACCGAAAUUGCCGAGUCUGAGCAACUCACUUUCAGGUUGGAAAAGUGAAUAAUUGAUAGUUGAGGUGUGUUUUAGAUAAAUAGUUAGUCAUAGUUCAGGUAGGAAAAUCGAAAAAUCACACACUCGAUAGUUUAGGUAUGAAACUCAACAAAUCGAGAUACUUUAGGUGUGGUUUAACCAUUAACUCUAUUCAGAAUGGUUGUUUACCUUCUAUAUUAUGUUUACUGUGGAGAGUAAAGUGAAAAAAACAUCUUUCGACUCAACUUUUCAAUUACGUAUUGUGAAAUUUUUUCCUGAGGAAAUGAUCUGCAAAGAAUGCCCCAAUUGCAGAGGCUAAUUAAGGUUAACACUAAACAUAAAGGCCAGCCUGGUGCAGUAAAACUACCAUUAUGUGCGGUGUCCGAGGAAGAGUCCCAUUACAAGGGUGUAUCAUACGCAGCCUUAUCUUGCAUUUCUGCCAUAGACUGUUUCUAAGGCUUGAACCCGCAGCAAAUUUACUAGUUACUUCAAGGCUCCCCUUCAAUUAAAGUUAACACUGAGACAGAAAAAAUUAAUCAAGGAACAAGAAGUUAUUAGUAUAUAAUUUGGGUUUAUAAAAGUAAUCAAUUGUAUGGUAAAAGAUGAAAAAGAUAAGAAUUUUGUGUUGCUUUACCAGUAAAUGUUAGUUUAUAGCUGGAUUUUACCAUUCUAAUUCUGAUAAACUAAUCACCUUCAACAAGUAAAUUUUGAUAUUAAAAAGUAAAAACCGUUGCAAACUGAUCUGCCAACAGAACCUCGUAGAAUUCCAUUACUCUCGAACUCCGACAUAGUGUAUUUGGAGUUUGAAACUCCUAUAUGUGAAACACAAGAAUAUUUCGUCUUGGAUUAGUUCAAACUUCAAAAAAUAAUUUCCAAACUCAGUGGUGGAGCCUGAAUUUUUUUUGUAAUUUGUUUGCUGUGAAUCCAUCAUCAUUGAAUCACGUACUUUGCAGAACGACUGAAGUUGUUAGUUUUUUUACAUCGUGAUCUAGUUUAUUAUUGUGGUGAUUUACUUGUAAAUCUUCAUAGUACUACAACAUCUGUUUGAGAAAAUGCCUCGUAUCGUACCCACCCAGUGUAAUUCCACAAGGAUAUAUUGUCUGUUUUAAUGACUACUUUCUCUUGUUGCAACUGUUCUGCUUAUUUGGCCUCAGAUGGCGAGCUAUGCGGAAGAGACAUUUGAAUUUAUGAAGCUUGCUUUAGAACAGGUAUAACUUCUUAUAUUUCCGAUUUAGUUUACAUAUGUAUGUUUUGUUUUGAUAAUUCUGCAAUCAGAUGAACAACUACAAGUUGAUCGACAAAAGGAAAACGAUAUCGAGUUUGUUCCAACCUAACAAGAAUGAUGAUAUACAUAGUUUCUACAGAGGACUAAAAAGAAAAACUUCAUUGGUCAUAUUGCUACAGCUCGAAUUCAACCUUUUUUACACACCCAAUGUAAUUCAAGCUACUUGCUGACUGGGUGAAAAUAUGAAAUUGAAAUAAUUUUUCCUUCGAUUAUUUGUUUAUUUUAAAUGGGGUGACCUGUUUUACCUUUAUUAUCUUCGUUUAGAGAUUGGUUUCAGAAUCAUCUUUUGUGUUUCCUGAUUUUAUGGUGUAUUUCAAUUUGGUUUCUCGUUAGUUAUUAAGCUUCCAAUCUUAGUCCCAUGGAGUUCAGAGAUAUUACUUUUAGGCUCCUUAGCUUUUCAGCAGAGAGAUUUUCCUCUAUAACAUACUAUUAGAGUGUGAUUUUACAAUUAAAAAAAGACUAGAAAGUAAUUUUUCCCCUAUAACAAGUCAUGGAUAUGUAUUUCUAUGCUAGGAUAUACACCAUUCAAUCUAUAUCACAUUGUUAUGGGAAUGACUUUUGAUGUGUAUUGACUGGAAGUCAACUCCUGCUGCUAAAAUUAAAGAAUCUCGGCUUCUUGAUCAUGACGUUUUCAUGUGAUAAAUAUACUUUUUGUUCAGGGCAAGCAAGUUGAUUUAUAGUUUACGCUUAUUUUAUGUUUUUUUCAUAUGGAUUGACAAUGACAUUCAAAAUUAAGGCACUCACCCUCUUUAUAUACCUGUAUUUUGAAUGAUGUUGCAUUAUUUAUGUCUUACUAGAAUACGUAUCCGCGCGAUGCGCAAUUUUUUUUAUUUUAAAUAUGCUAUUAGAAAUAAGGUCUUUCAGAGGAGCACUUAUCAUUUUUAAGCAUUAAUUUGGGUAAAUAACAUGUGUAUUUUAGUUCUAGUCAUGAAAAAAAAAGCCAUUAGAAAUAUGAAAAAUCAAAAAUGUCAUUUACAAUUGACAAUUCUAAAAUAGGAUUGAUUUUCUAGAAUACCUUCUAUAUCUAUUCCCACUUAAGUGCUUAAUCUUUACUCCCUUCAUUUCUUUUUAUGUGCUCUCUCUUUUUUUUUUUCUUUUGGAAAUAAAACAUACAAAGUUUGACCAACAUUUUAAGAUGUAUUUUAUAAAUAAAUUGAAAAAAAAAUUACAAUUUAUAUUAUUUUUUAUAUAAUUUUUGAAUAUCUAAAGUUUAAUUUUAAAAAAUUAGAUUAAUUUAAUCUAAUUUAGAUUUGAAAUUUAAUCAAACUGAAAUGAAAAAACGAUAGGUUGAACCUUGAAGAUAAUUAUCCAAUUAAAAUAAUUUAUUCAUCCAAAUGACUAUGAAUUUGUACUAAAUUCUCUUAUCCUCUUAAAAUGUGCAACAUGAUAGUUGAAUUAUUCAAGCUCUAUAUAGACAAAAACUAACAAUUUGACAAUAACUUCACUAUGAAUGACAAUAACUUCACUGUGCAAAUAUCCAUGUGCUACGUUCACCUUCUUACUUGCUUCUAAACUUACCAAUUUUCAGUAUAUACCUUUAUCUUACUUACUAACGCAUGCUACAAUUCAAGAAAGUCAUUUGAAAGAUUGUAAAUUAAUAAACUAACCAAUUGCAAGAUUUUUUUACAUAAUGACACCGUAUAAUUCGUGAAGUAAUAAUUUCAACCACCUAAUCAUUUAAUUAAAAGAUGUUUAAUACUUUUAUUUAUUUGUAUGUAUAUCAAACAGAGAUAUAUUUGACAAAGUCAACAUUCUACUAUCUUAUGUUUAAUAGCAUAAACAUGAUAUUGACAAGUUUCUUGUUGAUUUUAUUUUAUUUGCCAUCUUUUUCACCUUAAGCUUCAUCUAUUCUUGAUUUGGAUUUGUUUGAGCUUUGAAUCCUUCUACUAUGUUUUUAAUUCCUCCUAUGUCAAUGCAGAAAUUAUCCUUUCUUUUUGCCCUUCGCUUGUAUAAUGCAGCCUGCAAAUCAAUUCACAUUUGCAUCAACAAAUGAAUAAAGGCUAAACAACUCAACAUUUGCAUCAACAAAUGAAUAAAGGUUCAACAACUCAUCAGACAGAAUAACUGAUGAUAAGGAAAAAAAUCAACUUCAAUAUGCUCUAACUUGCAACUUAAAUACCUUGAAAUAACAGAAAUCAUAAUAUUUGAUUGUAGAGAAGUAAAGAUCCAAGGAGAGUUAAAUGAGAAAACACUUUAAUAUAUAAAACUUAAAAGGUCAUUCAUCAACUGCAUAUGCUAGUAGAUAAUAGUCAUGCAACCAACAAAUAUUUACCUCAAGAUGUCUCUUCUAAGUUUAGCUUACCAAAUUCUUGCAUCAUAUCACACAAUGAUUUGGCCCAUCAGAAUUCAAGACUUGAAGAACAUGUAAACUUUCAUAGAAGGAGAAAGCAUAUGCUAACUUAGAAAUCACAUACUCAUGAAUUGAACACAUGCUAACCAUGAAAUGUCAUAAACAUGAAUUAUGAGAAUAGUCAAAGCUUAUUAAAAAUAUCACACUUCUAUGUGGUGAAAUAGUAUACUCUAAAGAGUAUUCUACCUUGUAUACACCACAUCAAUAGGCAACGAUUAAGGGCAACAAUACUGACAGAAAGACAGAGAGAUGCUUGAUUAAGGCUUCGACACAAAUUUUAUCUAUAUUGUCAUAUAGUUCCUCUAUAAAUUAUCCAAUGCUACCAAAUUGAAACAUAAUUAAAAUAGUCCCAUUUUCCCAAACAAAUAUCGAAAUUCAUAAACUAACAAUGAUGACAUCGAAGAAUGUAAAGACUGAAAGUAAUUGAAAAUCUUGACAAACAAUGAGAGUAGCAAAAAAGCCUAACAGAAAUGAAGAAGAGAGAAAAAUGAUGAUGCGUUAUACCACCACUUAUGUCAUAAUUCGAUGGUCAAAGAGGUUUCUGAAUAAAAUGUCAAUAUUUACCAAUGAGCAUCAAACCCCUUAAUUAUUUGCUCCAUCUCUGAAAUAUAACUAUAUAGUGAGCGAAGUUAUCUAUAUGCAAUAAUAAUUCAUGAUAAUAAAAAAUAAAGCAAAAACAUUGAGGAACAAAGGAUAUAACAAACAACAAAAAGGGAAACAGAGGCGUAUUGUUUUCCAAAGCAUCUUCCUUUCCAAAUGCUUCUUCCUUAUGAUGGAAUAUGAUUGUAGAUUGAAUCGCACAAGCAACGAAAGUUAUGGAACUAAACCCACCAAAACUUUGAUUAUGUAACACCUCGAUUCGCUGAAUCGGAAUGUUACACGGUGCUCAUGACCCCGAGGGACUACAAGCUAACCCACGACUGAUAUCUGUACCUGUAAACUGCAUAAUAUCUCAUAAAAUAUGCGAAAACAUGAACUGUAAGGCCAUAAGGUUCAAUACUGAUACAUAUCUAAAAAAUAUGGUAUAUCAAUACCAAAAAGGAACAUACAUACUGAAGUCUGAACAUCUAAUUUGACAUCUAGUCCGAAAGCCUCUAACUGAACUGAAUAAGGAGUUGAUGGGACAUGUCCCCAACUAACUCCAACUACUAAAAUAAAGUAAAAACUGAAAUAGAAAUAAAAUCAUCAUAUCCUCGAAGGAUGAGGACUCACGUUUAACUCUUACUGCUGAUCCUCGAAUCUACUACUGAUUUGGAGCUCAUGUCUCUGAACCUAUAGUGUAACAUAAGAGAAAGCACCAUAGCGCAAAUGUGUCAGUACGUCUGAAUGUACUGAGUAUACGAGUGAGGUAGGCUAAAUACAAAGGGUUAUAUGCAUGGACAAUACUAACUGAUAUGAACGUGAGAGUACAUACAUGCAUACGUAAUUGUAACUGAACUCAUAGAGAUACGGACUACUAAUUCUGAAUACUGACAACAUGAGUGUACUGAUAAUGAGAUUAUGAAAGACUGAGUUUACUGAUAUUGAUAUGUAAAUCACUAAUAAGUGAUAGAUCAGAUACUGUAUUACUGAUAUACUAAGAGACUGAUAUUUUAUUACUGAUAAAUGAAUGAUUGUUUUCUGACAAUUCAAAUUAUGAAGAACUGGUCUGAUUGACUGUAUCUGACAGUCCUGAAGCUGAGUACUAAUAGCAUAAGUUCUGAUAACUGUUGUGAUUGAUAACAUAAGUGACUAUAUCUCACAGUCCAUAAAUAUGAAGGAAACUAUCUGUGUUCCAUUUUAUUUCUGAGUUGACUGUAUCUGAUAGCCCUGAUAUACUGAAAUCUGAAGAGCUAUCUGAGUUCUUUACUGAGACUGGGUAGCUAUAGCUGACAGUCCUAAAAUCUAUAACUGAAACUAUGGGAAGUAGUUAUCUAACCAACAUGCCCCAAAUAUGCUAUAAUAGCUAAGCUGGGGUCCAAUCUCUACCUCGGCUGGAGGGGUGUUAAUACCGCACCACUGGUAAAGACAACUGUGAGAACCCUAUAAUGGCAGGUACUUAAAUGAGAAUGGUGAAAAUCCUAAACUGACGGGUUAAGCCACCUCAUCAACCCUAGUCUGACGGGUUAAGAUCUCUCAACCUACGCUGGCUACGUAGUUCUGGAACACAAGGAUGACUGCUAAGAAUCACACCCUGAAUUGGCAGGUGACCCAUCCUUGGGUUCACUCGGUGCUAACUUCUACUCCCAUGUGAAGGGCACUGAACUGAAUAACUAAGCUGAACUGAAUAACUGUACUGAACUGAUUAGCUGAACUGAUACUGAUUAAUUGGACUGAUACUAGUGGUAUUGUUUAGCAGAGCUAAACUAAGUUUACUGGAUUUCGAUGACUGACAGAAUGUACUGAGUUCUGAGGACUGGUUGAGAGUACUGAAGUUACUGAGACUGACUGUGAAUACUGAGGUUGCUGAGGUUACUGAGCACUGAGAUUACUGGACUACUGAGAUUACUGAGAUUUCUGAGUUUUCCUGAGUCACAUGACCGACUGAAUUCUAUAGAUCAUGGCUUGACUGAGAGUAUCGUGAAAACAUGACAUAGAUCUAGGCAUACAACUAUAUUUUCUGGGUACAAGUACCCCCAGGACUCGAUGGAAGGAAACUGACACAACUUGAAUUUCUUGAGUACACGACCAUCAAUAACAAUCCAUAAUACAUGAGUGGGGAAUUUCAUGAAGUACAUGGUCAUCAUAAUAUCUAUCAUGAAUAGGAAUGCUUAUAAUCAAGUCAUAAAUCUUAUAUUCUAAUAUCAUGGGCAUUCCGACAACAUAUACUAUUUAUAGCAAGGGCAUGGAAACCAUUCACGCAUAAGGGAACAACAACAUGUAACAUUUAGUUCAUAUUGUAAUGAUUUGGGGAUAUUAAACUUCAUUUAUUUAUUUAACAUCUCAAACAUGGUAGGAAAAGCAUGGAUAUAAUUCGCAUACAUAAUUCAUAUCUUCAUCAUCAUGUAUGUUUCAUGCCACUACCAUAAGAAUACAUAAUUAGCAUGGAAAUUCAUAUUGAAUUGUAUAGCUAACAUGGACUUGUCAUGUGAAUAUCAUGGAAUCAUAUAAAUAGGAAUUUCUAGCAUCCUAGGCAUUUUAUCAAACACCUUGCAUGCAUUCUUUAAGGCAUAGGUGGAUUUUAUACUUGCAUUAUAUUAAACCACCCAAAGUUCAUAAUUUUCUACCAACAACCACAUAUAUUUCAUGAAAACAUCCUUAGAUAUCAUCUUGAANNNNNNNNNNNNNNNNNNNNNNNNNNNNNNNNNNNNNNNNNNNNNNNNNNNNNNNNNNNNNNNNNNNNNNNNNNNNNNNNNNNNNNNNNNNGGUUGGGCGGCGCCUAACCAAUCGCCUAUGCUUACUGUCUCUCACGAAAAAGGACAUAACUUUUCGCUCGGGUAUUGGAUUAAGGCGAAAUUGGUAUCGUUGGAAAGCUAAUUCGAUUCUGUACAAUUUGGUGGGUAUAAAUCAGCCAAAAUACCACAUUAACAUUAAGUUAUACUUAUUCAAAGAUGACCUUUGCAAAAUCGAACACUAAAACUUGAUGGAUUCAAAAACUCUUAGCUUGUAUUACCUUAAGUGACUUAUUGAACAUGCUUAAUGUAUCAUAAGCUAUCUUAUUGCUAGGAUACUUAUUAUAAAUCAUGAACUAAAAUGCUACUCAUAGGAUAGGAGGUUUCAUACGUAGGAAAAAGGGUUCUUCUCCUAGCUUAGAAACAUACGGGGUAUUACAAUAUCUCCCCCUUGGGAACAUUCGUCCUCGAAUGGAAAUUAACUAAAGCGGGAGAGAUGAUAAGAUGAAGUACGUACAAUACAUACACUACUAAAACAUGGGCUCAUGACUGGCAUGACUGAAAGCUGAGCACAACAUACUGAACAUGCAUAUCUGAUGCAUGGGAAACUGAUUCAUGAAUAUAAGACUGAGGAUUCUAAUAAAGUAAGUUUUCUCAAAAUGAGAAUGGAUAUCUGAUGCACAACUAAAAGGCUGAAUCCAUGCAUAUCUGAUCCAUGAUUAUAUGACUGACAUAAUAUGUGAAUGCAUGACUGAAAGUACUAAUAAGAUGAUCACGCAUAUCUGAUGCAUAAAUUCAUGACUAAACUUACUCAUGAACAUGGAAUGGUAAAGGUAUCAAGUUUGAACUAAAAACUGAGCAUGGAACUGAAUACCAAGUUUGGUACUGAAAUAUGAACAUGAGAACGAGUAAGUUUAAGGAAAACUGUUAGCUUGAACUGAUAAUACCAAUAAGUUUGAGAUUAAUUACUCCAUAUGCAUGAUCGGAAACAUGAGAACAUAACUAAGUUUGGGACGUGGUAGAUAUAUUGAAUAUCAUGAUCUGAACUGAAUCUUGAAAACAUGGCAUACGACUGAAGUUGGAGUUUGAGGGUUAACUUAUGAGUACCCCUUCUCCAAACUGGAUUCAUCAAAAGAAAAUAGAGCAGCAUGUUUAUGUCAUGAAAUUUUGGGGGUAUGAUGUAUCUCCCCCUUGGGACACUAUGUCCCUUAAAGGAUACUGACUUGGAUGAGCUACUGAGGGAAAUUAAGGCGAUGCACAAGACAUCUAGGAAUUGAGUGAUAACUGAAUAACUAGGAUAUGAAACUGAGACAUGAUACAUAAACUGAGCUGAACAUGAGUGCAUAAAUACACUAACUUAUCUGAUUAACUGAAUAACUGAUAGCUGAAUACUGGAUCUGCAAAGCUAAACUGUACUUAGUCUGAAUAGCUGAGCUGAGAUUUUGAGUUUUAUGCAUAGGAGAUAAGGACUAACUGAGUAGAAUAAGGUAUCUGAGCAUGGAUUCAUGAAGUCUGUAUUAUUUUCGAAUAUGAGACCAAACGUAUGACAUGGCUCUGAGGUAUUCUAUAAACUGGGUUACUGAAACACUAAUAACUAAGUACUGACAACUUGAAUGCUUUGGUCAAGCAUGUCUGGAACUGAACUGAGUUUCAAAUCUGGUUACUGAACUGAAGAUGACAUUAUAACUAAGCCUAUAGCUAGUACAGAAGUACUGAAUUCAAGGACUGAACACUGAUCACUGAGUGCUGGAUACUGAAACUAUAAUUGAGUUGACAACUGAGUUUUUGAUGGCUACAUGCUGGGGAUUGACAUAAGUCAAGGAUCUAAAUGUACACUUACACUUUGUACUUUCCCAACUUCUAAAUACGACCCCUUUCUAGAUGUUUACUUGUACAUUUAUCAUGACAUUCAAGCCUAUCUUCACAACUACACCCUCGUACAAAGUAAGUAUGCAACAAUCUUCUCUUAUCUAAAUAACUGCUCAUCACUGCACUGUUCCAUAAGGAGAGCUAACUGGAGGAGUAAAUCAAGAGGACCUGAAACAUGAAUAGAUACAAACUAAACUUGACACAUGACUGAAACUUGAAGAAUAAAAUAUGAAUAGUUUGGAUUUACCAAUAAGGUGUGAACUGAGGAUAUACAUGACAUAGUCUAAAUGUAACUGAUCUGUAGGGGCAUAGCAUGAGUCAUGGAAGCAAAGUAUACUGGAAAGCAUGAUAUGCGUACAUGAGUCAUGAGCUGCAUGACCUGAGUCUAGAGUUUUUUGUAAUCGUGGGACAUGAUUCGAAUACUGAGGGAGAUGGAACUGAACCCCUUAUACUGGGAACUGAAGGCACACAUAAUCCCAUGGAAAAUGUGUGAAAGUAGAUUGUUCUCAUGGAAUAUGACUCGUAUUGUGGAGUAAAAGGGACUCCUUAUGCUGGAAAUUGAAUUCAUACAUAAUUAUAGUUCGUGACCAUAGAGUUGGUAUGCAAUGCCUGAGUUGGUUUGGUGAUAGCUGAAGUGAACAACUCUGCACUAAGAUGAGAAUGGGUCUGGACUAAGGAUGUUGCUUCGGUAAAGGUGCUUUGGAGAAACCAAAAGAUAGAAAAAUCUACAUAGAAAGCUGAGAAAGCUAUGAGAGCUAAGUAACCAUCCUUGUUUCCUGUGAUGGGUAUAAAUACUUAAGGUAUGAGCUUUAUUUCCCAUCUUAUCACUUUUCAAAUUUAUCCUCGGAUUUUUAUUUGUAUUCUUUCCUGUUAUUGUGCUAAGGGUUCCCUAACUUCUCAUUCGGGGGCGAAUGAUCAUGGGGGGAGGGGGUAAUGUGACACCCCAAAUUUUUAAGCUUUAAACCUUCCAAGAUUUGAGUAAUUGAAUUAGCUGAUUUUUUGAAAUAAUGUCAAAAUUGUAAGUGACAAUGAUCCAGGGCACGAGUCUUGAUGUCAUGUAAUGAGUUGUUAGAAGGGACUUAUUGUCUCAAUAUUAGGUUACCCUGAAAUUUAACCUCUGAUCAUGAGUCAUUAUGAGGACUCAUUAUGUCAGACACUGAGUCGUUAUGUUAGACUCGUUUUCAUAAUAGUGAGGGAUCAGAUUCUGAUCUUCAGGUAACGACUCUAGGCCAUAACUCGUGGUUAGGCCUCACGAGUCGUUACCCAGGUCAUGAAGACUAUACUUAAUAUUUUCCUUCACAUUUUAUUAGGUUCUUUUAGGUAUUUUCCUCCUUUUACACUUUCCCCAUGACUUAAAAACACUCUAAUGUUCCCUUUAACAUCAAUUAUCAAAAUCAAUACACUACUUUUUUCUCAUUAACUUUCAAGGUAAGAGAAUACUAGGGUUUCACAAGAGAUUCAACAUUUAGGUUCCAAACUUCGGAUUCCUUUCAAAUUCUUUAGUAUUUCAGGUAUGCCUAUCAUCCCUAAACUUGUAUUUUACAUUAUGGUAUAGUUGAUUCAAUAUUCAUGUGAUUUAAGUUGGGUUUGAAAUUGGGUUGAGGGCUUCCGAUUGGUUUUCUAUUUGAAUUAUUUCCCCAUGAUUUAAAUGUGUUAUUCAUUCUUUGUAUAAUGGGAUUUGGGGCUGGAUGGAUGCAUUAUUGUGGGAAUUGGAAUGGGGAACACGGGUUUCCCUAAAUUGAUGGACUUUGGUCUGAUAAUGGCAUUAACCUCAACCUACCUUCAUAACUUUGGUUUUGAAUAUGGAAUUUGCAUAACUUAACUUACUUUUGGAAUCCUGCGUUGUACUAAAGGAUAAUGGAUAAUAAAAAAUGGUUUUGGAAUGCCCUUGGUGGCAAUGGUUUUGGAUUUUAAAUGGAACUUAAGAGUCUAAUGGUUAAUUAUAUUGGUUUGGAACCAUUACAUAAGCUUGCAAGCAUGUUGGAGUGACGAUGCCAUGUCAGUAAAUGCCUUAAUAAAUGGCUCCUGGGUUAACGGUUGGGUUUAUAUGAAAAAUGGUUUUUAUUUAGGCUUAAAAUGGAUUGUGUAUCUCACCAUGAAGGUGUAGUCCCGGGGAGGCUAACACUGGAAACCACGUUUGCCGAUAUGGGGGUCUAUUUGACCAUGUUCUUGGUUCAUAAAUUAUAUUUUUGGGAUGGCUAGAGCCUUGGUGUCUUUAUUUCUUCAGUCUGUUUCCUCGAUUUAUGUGACUAACACGCAUUGGGGCCCUUUCAGUAGGGGGAGCUAAACCCAUAUAGCCCGUGAGUGCCUUUAGGACAGAGCGAGCUAUACAUUCAGGUUAAUGGUUUAAACUCUCAUGUUUCAUGACCCUUGUACUUAUCCCGACAUCUUAUAUAUGUAUAUAUUAAUAUUGUAAAUGUGGUUUUGACAGGUUUUUGGUAAUGUCAUUAUUUUAUCACUUUCCCUGAGUUACAUGCCAGUGCUUACCCUAAUGACCGUCCCUGGCCGUUACAUCAUUUCAUGAUGUUGGGUUGAGGGUUUUUCUAUUACUCCUGUGCAACGUUAGGUGGAUGUGUUCAUUUGUUGUUUUGCUGUGAAGUGGUGAGCCUCUAUCUUUCAGAAAGCCUUGCCAUUUCAUUAGGUUUCUUUUUAAAUUUUGUAAAUUAUGAGUUUUCUUUUUCAUUGUAGGGGGCAUGUCCCGACCUAGUUUAGUAGUAUGAUUUUAGAGGCUUUGGUGGACAAGUGUGGGGUGGUUAUUUUCUUUUAUUUUUAGUUAUUAUUUGGUUUAUCUAUUCUUGUUAUUAUCAUAUUUGGUUGUCUUUUGCUGUAUUCUUUUAUUUUGUUCUGGAUGUUAGGCUGAGGGUGUGGUUUCUGGCUUGCGGUGGUUUUGAGAUUCCCGUCACGACUAGGCCUUGGCUCGGGUCGAGACAGUAGUUUUGACAUUUGGUUACAAAAUCCACAAUUUCAUGCUUUAUUUUUCGCCACCAAUAAUGUUGCCUCAAGUCUCUGUACAUUUUGUUAGAACUUGGAUGUAUAGAUUACUUGGAGUUGUGAGCCUCUUCUAGAAUAUUGAAAUCAAAUUAUUAACUCGAAGAAACAUCCCCAAAUUCUCAACACUCCCUCAUUAUUAAGAAUGUUUUCUUUAUCCUCAUCCUGCAACACCUUUUUCUUAAGAUUGUUCAGCUUCUUGUCUUCAAACUGCCUACUUUUGAUUUGGUCCAUGAACAUGGACUUUCCUUCCACAUGUGCUAAUAUUAUCCCUUCUCUAGUCUCCUGUAAUCUUAUAAAACCAUUAGCCAAAAACUGUAUGUCCUCAUUAAUGUACGCCUUGACACUUUUAGCCAAGCUAAGCACCCCAUGCUCAUUGGGUUCCAGCUUAGUGCAACCACCAUAUUGGCCUUACCCAAGUGAUAUAGAAUUUCAUAAUCUUUGAUCAGCUUUAUCCACCUUCUCUGUCUGAGAUUCAGAUCCUUCUGGGUGAACACAUACUACAAGCUGCGGUGGUUGGUGAACGCUUUAUAUUUUAUCCCAUAAAGGUAACAUCCCAAAUUCUUCAAAGAAAACAGCACGCCUGCCAAUUCUAAAUCAUCUGUGGGGUAGUUUUGUCUUAAGGCUUCAGUUGUCUCAAAUCAUAAGCAAUGACAUUCUGAUCCUGCAUGAAAAUAACACCUAAACCCGACUGUGAGGCAUCACAAUAUAUAAUAAAAUUCUUGCCAUCAACAGACAAAGUGAGAAUUGGAGCCGAAGUUAACAACAUUUUGAGCUUUUGGAAGCUCUCCUCAUACUUGUCAUCCCACACAAAUCAAACUUCCUUCUAUGUAAGGCAGGCCAAAUGCAAAGUAAUGGCAGUAAAUCCCUUAACAAAUUGACAAAACUCAUUGGACAAUCCCACAAAACUCCAUAUUUUUAUCACAUUCAUUAGCCUGGUUUAAUUCCUACUAGAUUCUACCUAAUACGGUCUACCAUAACCUCUUUAUUAGAAACCAUGUGCCCCAAAAAGGGCACCGAAGAGAGACAAAACUCACACUUACAAUAUUUAGAAUAUAGUUGCUUCUCCUUAAGCAACCCUAACACCGUACAUAAGUGAGCUUUAUGCUCCUCUUCACUUCUUGAGUAAACUAAUAUGUUAUCAAUGAACAUAAUCAUGAACAAAUCCAAGAAUGAAUUAAACACUGCAUUCAUUAGACUUUUGAAAGCAAUUUGGCAUUGAUUAAGCCAAACAACAUCACUAGAAACUCAUAGUCCCUAUAACGGGUUCGAGAAGAAAUUUUAGCGAUAUCGUGCUUCCUAAUGUUGAGCUAAUUGUAACCUUAUCUCAAAUAUAUUUUAGAGAAAACUAUAUCUUUUUGUAACUGGUCAAACAUGUCAUCUGUUCUAGGUAAGGGAUUUUUUUGUGGGUGGUCAACUUAUUGAACUGGUGGUGGUCUAUGGGAAGGAAAAUCACUUAGGAAAAUAAAAUCCUUUUCUAACAAUUCCUGUAAUUAAGAUUUCAACUCUGUCAACUCUGCUGGUGCCAUGCGAUAGGGAUGGAUAAAUAUGGGUGAAAUUCCAAGCUCUAAAUCUAUAUAGAAAUCAACUUUUUGGUCUGGAGGCAUACUCGAAAGAUAGUUAGGGAACACUUCUAAGAAAUUACACACCACCAGAACUGAUGCUGUAGAAGGAACUACAUAUUUAUCUUCUUGAACAUGGGCUAAAAAUGCUCUACACCCCCUCUUUACUAGUUUCUGGGCACGAAAAACUGGCACUAUUCUCAUAGGAGUAGGCUUAAAAUUACCCUGCCAUUCUAAUUCUUCAUCCUAGACAUCUCUAUAGUGAUGGUUUUAUCAUAACAAUCAAGAAUAAAAGGAUAAGGAGAAAACCAAAUCAUCCCUAAAAUGAUAUCAAAUUCCUCCAUAUAUAGAAUCAUUAAGACUGCCAAGGUCUUAAACCCUAUAAAUAUAACAGGACAUGCAUAAUACACCUGAUCAAUACAUACAGACACUACCAAUUGUAAUAGACACAUACAUAGGAGUAUUAAGAUAUUCACAGUCUGAUACCCAGCCACAAGUAAAUUUCAAAGACAUAUAUGAGAAGGUGGAACCAACAUCAAACAAUAUCAAAGUCAUACGAUCAUAGAUAAGAAUAGUACUUGCGAUGACAGUGUCAGGAGCCUCUACUUUAGGAUGAUUUGGAAUAGCAUAGAGAUGAGCCUUAUCAUCAUCAUGACUGCUACCUCUACCAGCCUCAGUACUAUUUCUACCAAUCCUUUCGCUACCCUAAUUGGAUUAGCUGUCGCCCCUUUCUGUAGCCUUGAUACCACACCUAUGUUGUAGACAAACCCUACUAUUUUCUCCUCCACCAUAACCUACAAAAAUUAGUCUGCUAUUAAGUCAACCAACCUGUAGAUAAAAAAUUAUAACAAUACUUUCUGAUGUGGACGAAACUCCCAAAUUAUGGCAUCUAAUGCCUACAGUAGGCCUCUGGACUGAUGAGUAUGAAUGUAUGUAGCUACGUAUUUGUGAAGGUUGAUGAUUGACCCUAGAUGAUCCCCUUGCAAAUACUUAUAUGGCCAAAUUAUAAGGAUUAGAAGAAUCACGCUCCAUUAAAAAAUACUAGUGAACUGGACUGAUGUCUGACUUUCUUAUCUUCUGCUUUUACCCCUCCUUGUUUCUUAAGUGCUUCAGCCUUCUUGGCAAACUCAACUAUCUCCUCAAAAGACUUACCAAAUGCAGUCAUAAAUAAGGUCACCAAUUGGAUUACAGAAUUUAAAACCUUUACAAAGUAUCUAAUUUUAUCCUCCUUCGAGGUGAUAAACUGUAGUGCAUAUCGAGACAAGGCAUGAAACUGGGCCUCACAGUCUGUAUAGACAUGGUAUCUUGUUGCAACCUCAAAAUCUCGUCCUUCUUACAAUGAUGAUAUAGGGAACAUAUUUCUCAAGGAGCAUAUUAUUAAAGUACAACCAAGUAAGCAGAGGUAAGACAACCUUGCAUUCUACAAAUGACCUCCACCAAUGCUUGGCUUUCUCUUGAAGUUAAAAGGAAAAACCGGUACACUAUGCCUUUUAAUAAUACCCUUAUUUUUUGCAGGCAUUUAAGACAAUCUAUCAAAAAUUUAAAUGUAUCCUCAUUCUCUAUACCCUGGAAUACUGGGGGCUUUAUUUUUAGAAAUUCGCAGAAUAAUCCAUGUGCUUCAUCAUUCAUUACUAGCCCAAGUACCUGUUAGGGAUAUAACCCUGUUUGAGAACUUUCGUCCAUCCUUGGUGCUACAACAACAAUGUGUUGCAAGGUUGGGGUUGGAAAGCUGGAACAACUAGAGUGUGGCCAAUGCCAGCCAAGCUACUAAAAAAUAGCAACACUUACCGAAUUACUUCCAUAGAAAAAUACACGGGAGCUGCACCAUUCGAUGUUGAUACUACAUUCUCUAGUAGUACCAUUUCCUCUUCCUUAACUACCACUUUUUUAUUUUGACUAAGAUCUAGAGCAUCCUAUUUUAGGGAAGGGGACUGAUUGAGCUACAUCCCUAAUAUGUGCUACCCUUUGUCUUUCCUUCCUACCUCUACCCCUAAAUCUAGGUCUACCUCAGACUGCAACCUUAGUAGCUUAUGCAGGUGCUGUUGUGGGAGCAGCUGUUGCUACUAUGAUAGAACGAGUAUUCACCAUUUGCUAACAUGAGUGAAGGGUUAGAUACCAAAUUGGAAUCAAGUAAUUGCAUGAAAGAAUGAAAAAAAAAGAAAUUUAUUCCUUAAGCGCUAUAGCCUCCCAGAAAAAGUACAAAUGUCUUUGUACCGUUCUACAAGACUCUACUAGAACUUUUCUUGUACGACGAGAUCUAUGAACCUAGUGCUUUGAUACUAUCUUUGUCCCGAUUCAAAUCGUCAUAAUUGGCACCCACCUUAACCUAUGGCGGGAGAACCAUACUUAACCCUAACCAUCAAGUAAUCCAAUGCAACAUUUACAUUCACAUUACCCUACUUCACCAUAAAACAAGUUAAAAUCAUCUUUAUUGAAUUAUUAAGUAAUCACCAAUAAACCAACAAAACUAUCCAACCACUAAUAGAGUACAAAAAAUACUAUUUAUUAUAAUAUUUAGGAUCUGAGGUCACCGAACAAGAACAUCUAAAAGAAAAUCAAGUCUAAAAGCUAAAUUAUUAUCCAAAAUAAUGAAUGAAUAAGAAUAUCUUAGUCCCGAAAUAAGUAACUUAAACAAUGAUAAAAACAUCUCAAGGUUGUCUGGUCAUGAUGCUCAUCUUUGGUACUUCUAGCUAAAGGUGAGCUCUUGUCUUAAAUGCCGGGACACGCUCUAUAUGUAAUAAAAAGAAGAGCAUAGGUAGCAUUUAGUGCAAGUUCAGGAAAUACUUAUUUCAUGAAAUAAUUUUGGCUUGACAUCAAAAGCUUGGAGUAUUUUGAGGGAGUACGAAAUUCAAGAACCAAUAAAACAAUAGCUCAAGUUAAUUUUAGAUUCAUUUUAAUCAUAAUAUGAUGUAUAUGUAAUCAAAGGGCAUUUAUGUCUUUUUAAAUUUUAGCGAACCCUAGCACUAUAAAUAAGAUAGGAUGAAAAUUACAUGAGGUGACAACAUUUUUUGGUUUGAAUACUCUUAUUGAGUUUGUGAGUUGAAUAUCUUUACUGGAUCUCUCUAGAAUAUCAUUUGGUAAUGUUUUAUCCCUUUUAGAUUUUAUUUUAAAUAAAUUAGUUUUGACCUUUUCAAACUAUUCAAGAAAAUUCUGAAAUAAUUUUGAAAAAUUUUACAGAGUUGUCACUUGAUUUUUAUAGAAAAUAUCAAGAAAACUUGAAGAGAAAUUUCAAAGAUUAAAAACAGAAAUAACAAGUCUAAAAGCUAAAUUAUUAUCCAAAAUAAUGAAUGAAUAAGAAUAUCUUAGUCCCGAAAUAAGUAACUUAAACAAUGAUAAAAACAUCUCAAGGUUGUCUGGUCAUGAUGCUCAUCUUUGGUACUUCUAGCUAAAGGUGAGCUCUUGUCUUAAAUGCCGGGACACGCUCUAUAUGUAAUAAAAAGAAGAGCAUAGGUAGCAUUUAGUGCAAGUUCAGGAAAUACUUAUUUCAUGAAAUAAUUUUGGCUUGACAUCAAAAGCUUGGAGUAUUUUGAGGGAGUACGAAAUUCAAGAACCAAUAAAACAAUAGCUCAAGUUAAUUUUAGAUUCAUUUUAAUCAUAAUAUGAUGUAUAUGUAAUCAAAGGGCAUUUAUGUCUUUUUAAAUUUUAGCGAACCCUAGCACUAUAAAUAAGAUAGGAUGAAAAUUACAUGAGGUGACAACAUUUUUUGGUUUGAAUACUCUUAUUGAGUUUGUGAGUUGAAUAUCUUUACUGGAUCUCUCUAGAAUAUCAUUUGGUAAUGUUUUAUCCCUUUUAGAUUUUAUUUUAAAUAAAUUAGUUUUGACCUUUUCAAACUAUUCAAGAAAAUUCUGAAAUAAUUUUGAAAAAUUUUACAGAGUUGUCACUUGAUUUUUAUAGAAAAUAUCAAGAAAACUUGAAGAGAAAUUUCAAAGAUUAAAAACAGAAAUAAAUCUUCGAAAUUAGAGAAAUCGAGUAAGGGUUGAAUUUACGCCCUAAGAAGAGCGUCCGUUUUGAAAAAUGGCUCACCAAAAGAUCACUUUUGACUAACUAAAAAAAUGACUAACUUUGUGAAAAGGUUGAUAAUAUUACAAUUAUUUAUCCACACAUCUAAAAUUGGCAUUUGUUUAUUCAAACGAGAAAUAGUCUGCUUCAAUUAAAGAGAAACCUAUCUAAACUAGAUUGCGCACUUGGAUUUAAGGAUGAAAUAAAUUUAUUUUAUAUGAAAAAAGGAUCAUAUAAUUAUUUAUUAUUAUUAUCAUAAAAUGGUCAAUUUUGUUUUACAUAACACUUUUGGAAAAAACAUUAAGAGAGUAUCGAAUUAAAAGUAUCUUAUUGAUUGUGAAAAAUUGAAAUUUACGAGAAAAAUUGAUUUCUUGAGUUUGAAGAAAAUUAAUUUGCUCCAAAUAGACUAUCAGCUACAUGAACGAAACAAAUGUCAUUUUGAACUAAAGUACUCAUUUUUUAGAGACUUGUUUAAAAAAGGCCAACAGAGCCAAUUUAAUUCUUUUUUUCAGAUAGGGUGAAUUAUGUGAGAAAUUAUAAAAUGAGGAAUUCAAGAUAAAUAGAAUGGCAACAAUGUGGGACAUCACUAGAUUAAUUAAUUAAAAUUUGUGCUAAUACAAAUGAAUAAGUAAAAAUUGCAAAUUAUAAGAGAAUAAAAGAUUAAAAGUUAGAGUUGGGCCUUUUUGGCCCAUCAGUGAGCUGCCCAGCCUUUGGGCUUCACAUUUUAUGGACAUCAGGUCCAUUUUCCUGCAUGUAUAUCAGCUGUAUAUCACAGCUCUUUUGCACGCGUUUUUCUGUAUAUAUACUGUAUAUCAGUGUAUAAAUAUCCGUAUAUUUGCUACCAACUUUGUUAUGCACCACGUAUAAGCAUAUACCAGCCGCUCUUGACCUGUACGACCCGUAUAUAUGGCAUAUAUCAAUGUGUACCAGCAACUUUUUAGUGCAUAUUAAUCCAUUUUUCUUCAUGUAUUAGUCCUAUUUGGACUUGGAGGAGGUUUGGACUCAAAGAUUCGGAACUUUCUAGCCCAUUGGAGUAUGCAGGAGAAGAGUCCGCUUGAACUCCAAAUCAAGGUGGUCAUGCAAAAGAAAAAAAAUAAGGGUUAACAAAUGACAUUACAAACAAUUGCUUUUAAAAAAAGAAAGAAUAAACUUAACUUCAAAUAACGUGGGCAAAAUGUGAUGCACUAUUGACAUUAAAAUUUGAUUAUUUGUCCGCAUAAGAACAAAUUCUAUCAUACCCUGAUAGGAGAUUAAUGAGAGCGAAAUCACAAUGGCAUGCUAUAACGCUUCAUUCUCUGGAAAUGGAUUUUCAUAUUGGCGGGACUAACUCUUGAAACUAAAGAAAAAUAUGGAAAUUUUCAAGGAUUAAAAACACUGCCAUUUGAACAAAAGGAACCAAAUCAUAACAACAGUAAAACCAAAUAGACCGAAAUUCACCAGAAUCAUUGAAAAGUACCAUAUCACAGAUGAUAGGGUUGAAACCAUAUGUUGAAACACAUAAUCAAUCAAACCCGUGGAGCUAAGGGACUCUAAUGCAUAUUUGAACUUUUGGGCAUAAGAGUCUAGAUAUAAGAGACUUGACAUAUUUCUUUUUUAAAAUUGCAUUAUAAAACACAUCAUGAAUAAAAUAGCUUCCUCCCUUUUGGACGUCCUUCUUGAUAUCCUAAGUCAAGAGAAAGCACUUUAGAGAAUCCUUGGUUUAACUACAUUAUCGAAUUUGAGAAGCUCUACUAAAUCUCUUGAAUCAAAAUCUCAAGGAAAAAUGAAAGAGUAAUUCUUGAAGACCUUUCUUCCUUGAUGAGUUUAAUUUGGUAUUACGAACCAAAAUAACUCAUAUGAUACAUUCAAAUUUUUUAUUUUUAGUUAAAGAAAGAUAGAAAAUAAAAUAAAAUAAAAUUUCAACCUUUUUAUUCAUAGAGGCAGGACAGUCAAUCUUGACUAAUGGCAAACACACAGACAACCUAUUCUAGUCGUUAAUAAACAAGUGUUUCAAGCAACUUAACACUACCAACACAUCUUUAACAAACUAAUUUUAGCAAUUCAACCCUGAAACAUCAUCGUUCGACUAUCAGAAGAACAUGUGAGCUAAGUCUCAAGUAAAAUCUCUUUCUGACUCUUUUUUAAACAGGAAAGAAAGAUAAUUUUGUAAACUGAAAUAACGACACACAGUACUAUGAAAAUAAUAAAGUUCGAAGAUUUUCAACAAAUACAUUCCGACAAGACCAAAUCCUAAUUCUCAGUAAUAGAAAGAACACAUUAAGCUCAAAUAUUAGCCUUCAAACUCAUCAAUACCGUGGUAUUCGUGUUGCAAAAUCAACUUUUAGCAAAGAAGAACGAAAAUUAUAAGGUUUCGCACCUAUUUUCAGGAAAUAGCUGGGAACCACGAGCCGAAUUGGCUAUUCCACCACACCGGAGUUCAAACAAGGCUUCAUUGAAAUUCAAAGUGUUUUACAGAAAUUAAGCAUAUUUUCUUCGUGGAUUCUUGGUUACGUGGGAUUAAAGGAAUGCUCCUUCAAAAAUCCCCAAAUUUCCCCUCAAAAGUCCUCUUCGAAACUCCUACCUCUCAAUGUCUAUUUAUAGGAGAAAUUUGGGGGGAAAAUAUUAGGAUUUCUAAUGGAUUUCAAACCCAAUUUAAAAUCCUUUUCGUGAGAAGUUUUGAGUUCCACAGUGAGACAAAAAUCAUUAAUGGUCUUUGUCUUGAACUGAAUUGGAUCAAUGAGAGGGGAACAAAAAGAACGUUACCUUCGUUUGGUCAAAAAGGUGAAUUAAUUUUUUGCCCAAAAUACUGAACCAUGGACUGAAAAUGAUGAAAACACCUAAUUUCUUAGCCAUAGAUGGCUUGGACGAGAGGGAUAAAAUGGUAAUAGGGAAGCUGUGUUUACUUGGGUUGUUGUCAUUAUUUACGUUGAAAAUGUUCGUGGUUGUGCGAGUUGGAAUUGCUGUUGUACGACGUGUUUGAAUGCUGUUAGCAUUGCUGAGUAUUGUUGUCAUUGUUGAGUAUUGUACGCUGUUAUAUUGGGGAAAGAGGGAAAUAGAGUUGGGUGGACUGGGUAUUGGGCCUGGGUAGAAGGGUUUUGGGGUUAUUCACUUUUAUUGGGCCGGGUGUGUUAUUGAUGGAGUGGGCUGAUGAUUAAUUAAAAGGUAAAAUUCAGAAACAACAUACUUAUCCCCUUAAUUAUGAGUUUCAUAGCAACAGUUUCAUAAUUACAUAACAUAGCAAGUUGUAUUUUGUAUUUUUGCAAACUGUUGCUACAAAAAUACAAAUACAUGCAAAUACAUAUGCUACAAAAUGUAAUUUGAUAAAAGCGUUGUUAUUUUUUUUAAUUUAAUACUUAAGUAUGCUAUUUUAUGUAUUUUUUUCCUAAUUAAAUAGGAUGGAUGGGUAUUUUUAAUUUAGUCAAUUCUAAUUUAAAAUCUAGCCAAAUUUUAAAUCACUCUGUCAGUUGUAUCACAAUUGUGGUCGAAUUAAUUUCACUUAUGACCAAAUUUAAUGAAUCGACUAAAUUAAAUCAAAAUUCGAAUCAGAUUAACAAUUAGUUUAAUUUUGAAUUUCUUGGUUUAAUAAAAUCAAACACAUGUUUUCAAAAUAAGCUAAUUUUGAGAACGAAUUAUAUUUAUAUCAAGAUUUUAACCAUUUGAACUAAUUUUCAAGGUAACCCUUGAUUAAAAUCUAAUUUUCUGUAAAACAAUUAUUUAAGUAACAAAAUUAUAUGAUUUCGUAUAUCUAUGAAUACAAAAAUAUAUAAUCGCUGCUUAAAAUGGAAAAAAUUAGCUAGAUAAAUAUUUGAAAAAAUAUUUAUCCGAAUAAAUUAAAUAUUAUAAUUUUAUUUGAAAUCGGAGAAACUCAGAUUUAAACUUAAUUGUUGAAGGUAUAAAUUAGGUGUUAACUACUGCCCUCUCCCUUUGGAUAGGGUGGAUGCAAGUAACCCCAGGCAAAGGGAGUUUGACAUUCCUAAUUUUUGUCAAGCCACAAACUCGUUUCUCAAAAAGGGGUUGGUUUCACAUGAGCUUUGAGAAAUCAUGGCUGGAUCCCAAUUCAAGUUUCCUACAUAUCUUAGGUUGCAUGAGAAAUCAGGCCAUUUGUAGUUCAUAACACUUCUUUUAAGAAUGAUUUUCAAAGAAUUCACAAGCUAAUUUGAUUUUGAAAUUUAGUGAAAUCAAAAAACUGGGGAAUAAACGGAUUCAAUGGAGGUUAGAAUGUAGUCGAGUUAUCAAUGAAGAGCCCAACCUACAUAUGCCUGAGAGUCAGGGAAUCAGAAUACCUGUAGUUUGACUCGAUCGGUGGAAAAUGUAGUCCUUUAUGCUUAGACGACCUUUGGAUCAAGAUGAGUGACGAGCAAUUGAGCUAUGGGCUAGAGGUUUGUAGUUAUCUCAUUUACAAAAUGUUGGCCCUCACACAUGUAAUUAUGAGUUGCAUGGAUAGAAUUCCCAAAGCUCUAGGUGUACGUCACCCGAAUUUGAAGAAAUAGAAAAGUUACUUUCGGCGUGAGUUUAGAAAUAUACCGAAAGUGAAACUGAAACCAAAAUCCCAAAAUACCCACAUGCCUUCGGCUAGAGACAUGGUUUGAUGGUGGGGGAAGUUGUCUUUUAGCUCGCGUACAAAUAGUUUGAUAUUUCUCUUCGAACUAUGUCCCAGUUUGGUGUUAAAAAAAAGUUCCACGUUGUGCUGCAUCCUUUUUGGAGUCAUCCGCACCUACGAUUUGGUUUGAGAUUUUCAUCCUUUUCAGAUGCUCUCGACAAUAUCUCAAAUAAAGCUAUUAGUAAUAAACAUAAUUCACUAAGGGAUUUAUAGUCUUUUACCAUAUCUCCGUGUGAGUUGCUACCUGAAAAAGACGUCAUCCUCUCAUAUAUCUAUUUGGAGAACGACAACUCUCGCAACAACCAACAUAACAAACUUUUUUGUUGUUGGAUAAACUAGUUGUUUUGAUGGUUGAAAAUUUUCUUCGAAAUGGGGUGGCCUUCUUGGGCACUGACAAUACUUUGUAUAGAGCGAUCCCUACUACCGCAUAAUCCUAUGCUGAUGUGACAACCUUUUUGACCAGCUAUAAUAGUUGUCGUAUGCAGAAUGAUAACCCCUUUGGCUAUCAAUAAUGGUCCUUUGCAUGUCUUUUGGGUAAUUCUUGCGUAUCUUUUGUAUCGAUACGACUUAUAGAUUUUUCUUGAAUUUUCAAUCUUUGGAUGAUCUUGCACAUUAUUUGAUGUUGGAUAUGAGGCAUCUUACAAAUAUCCUUUGAGUUUUUAGCUUUUGAGUAAUCGUGCACAUUAUCCGACCUUGGAUAAGAGAUAACUUACAGAUAUCCCUCCAAUCUCCAGCUCUCAAGUAUUUGUGCAUAUUAUCCGACCUUGUAUACAAUAUGACUUAUAAAUAUCUCUCUAAUUGGUAGACUUAUAGAUAUCUCUCUAAUUGGUAGUCUGUGGGUAAUCCUGCGCAUAGUCGAUCUUGGAUAUGAUGCAACUUAUAGAGAACCCUUGGACCUAUCAAUUUUGAUAAUCUCGUAUAUUUUUCAGUAAGGAUUUAAUUAUGACUUAUGGAUAACCUUCAAACUAUCAAUCUUCGAGUAACCUUGCACGCUAUCCGAUUAGAAUAUUAUUGCAGCUUACGGAUGACCCAUGGACUAUCAACCCAUGGAUAAUCUUGCACAAUAUCCUAUCUCAAAUUAAGUGACCUAUAAAUCACCUUCGGAUUGCCAGUUCUUAAAAAAUUUCAUAUGUCGUCCACUUUCAGAUGGCGACUUAAAGAUGUACCCUUCAAAUCAUAUGCUUCUUUGUAUGAUUUGAUCAGAUAUGGAUGCUUCAGAAUAUCCUUCAAUGCUAGACUCUUUUGUCUUUGUAUAAUUACUAAAUAUAUAUGGAAAUACUUCAGAAUAUCUUUCAACAAUAGAAUCUUUCAUCUUUGUCUGAUUAAAGGAUAUAGAAUACUGAAUCAAUCAUGGGCAUCAUAUGGAAUAUGAAGAUGCCCUUGGAUUAUUGUCUCUUUGAAACUAGUUAGAGAAGGCAAUAUGGUUUUCAGGCCAUGACCCUUAUGGCAUGGUCAUCUUGGAAUGUCCCUUUCACCAUGGCCCUUUUGGACUGAGCCUUUCGGUAUGACCCUCUUGGCAUGGCCCUCUCGGUAUGACCUUUUUGGCACGGCCCUCUUGGCAUCUUCCUCUUGGCAUGACCCUCUCAUUAUGGCCCUCUUGGAAUGAAAUUUUUUUCAUGGCCCUCUUGGCAUGAACCUCUUGUCGUGGCCCUCUUAGCAUGAAAUGAUACAAUAGAAAGAUGAGGAGGAAUGUAAAUAACCAUGCAUUGAUUGUAGAAAACAUCACCUUGACCGUUACACUAGUAUGUUAAACCUUAUGCAUAUACUAUUUCGAACAUCGCAUCCUUAAUUUGCUGGGGUGCGAGUAAUUCAUCAUUUUGCUUUCCCCGUUUGAUGAUAACUAUAACCAUAGAAAACUUAUAAGUUUUGGAAAACUUAACUAUUUUCAUCCUCCCGUCCAUCCUCGCCCUUUCUUAUUGGACUUUGGAUAUUUGGCUUUGUUGUAUUCCUUUAAAUCAAAGGAACAUGUUGAAUAGCUGAUGCCUUUGUUGUUUUUUUCGCUUUAGGAUAAUCUGUAUCCAUAGAAAAGUUUUUAGUUUUGGUAAAAUUGAUAUGUGUUGACCUUCUUGCUCUUCAUCUCUCGUCAUCAUCAUCACCGGGUUCUCCUCUUCUUCUAGUAUUUGUCAUUUUUUGACUCCUGUUUUUACCCCUCGAGUUGGUGAGUGUAAGGCAAAAUCAUAGGAUAAAUUAAUUUAAAGUAAGUAUGUUUUACACAUAGUUGGAUUUUCAAAAUCUUUUUAUAAGAUUUGGAGCGGUCUCUGUCAAUUAAGUCAUGUCAUAUAUGAGCUUUAAUGAACAUUCUUGGCUCGAGGCGUUGCCACAUUUGUCAUUUUGUCAGUAAGCUCUAGAGAUCCUUUAGUAUUAUGACUGAAUAGUUUUGGGGAUGAGCCUUUGUAGCUGAAGGUCCAUGAAGUUGACUCGACUCUCUCGGUGCUGAUGAAUCUUUGGUGUCCUAUCUUUGAACUCUUUAGUACAGUAUGGUGGAAAUUUUGAGGUCUUCCUCAAAAUUUCUGCCCCAGUUACUGAUGUCUUUCUUUAAAUUUAAUUUGUCUUGUGUGAGGAUGAUCUUCUAUUUUUAAGUUUCCUUCUAAAAAAUUCUUCCCCAGUUUCCAUUUCCUGGGGUAAUAUGAUCGAGCUUCUGUGGCACCUAUAUAUCCCGUUGGACAGGAAUAAAGUCAAACAUUAUUCCCACAACAUAAAAGAGAAUAAAAUAUAGUUAUAAGGGUGAUUGAAUCCGACAAAGGCCCCUUAUGUAUCCUAUCCUUGGGAAUUCAGGCCACACAUAGUUCAAGAGAAUAUAAAUAAAGUUUCCUAAGGGGUUGACCGAAGCCGACAUAGGCCGACUAUGUAUCCUCUUCUUGGGAAUUUAGGUCAAACGUAAUUCAUACAAAAAAUGAAAGGGAAUUUUCUCUUAAGGGGUUGACCGAAGAUGACAUAGGUCGCCUACGUAUCUCAUUCUAAAAAAUUUAGGUCAAACGUAGUUUUACAUAAAAGGAAAGGGAAUUUCCUCCUAAGGGGUUGACAGAAGUCGACAUAGGCUGCCUACGUAUCCCAUUCUUGAGAAUUCAGGUCAAACAUGGUUCGUACAUAAAAGGAAAGGGAAUUUUUUCCUAAGGGGUUGGCUGAAGUUGACAUAGGCUGCCUACGUAUCUCAUUCUUGAGAAUUUAGGUCAAACGUAGUUCGUACAUAGAAGGAUGGGGAAUUUUAAAACUGCUACAAAUAAUAAAAACAAUUACAAAUAAGAAAGCAAUUACAAGGAAAUAAGCACGAAGGAACCCCACAUCAGACAUAGUAUCUCUUUACUGCAUCAGAAUUGAUUGGCUUGGUCCACCUUUAGCCAUCCAUUUCAGACAAAAUCAAGGCUUCUCCUAAUAAUACUUUGCAAACUACAUACGGCCCCUGCCAAUUUGGAGCGAACUUUUUCUUAUACUCCUCUUGGUGAGGAAAGAUGUGUUUGAUCACCAAAUGUCCAACUUCAAACGUGUGAGAUCUUACCCUUUUGUUGAAAGAACUAAUCAUUCGUAAUUGAUAUAUUUGAUUGUGGUAUAUGACUGUAACACCCUGUAACAUUUUUCAUUUGAUACCACUCCGAGUAGCACGCUUAAAGAAGUAGCGACCAAAAAUUUUUCUAAGUGUUAAAAGACAGCCAUAUUUUAAGCCCCUAAAAUUUGAUAAUUUUUAAAUCAAUCUUCCCAACCCCGAGACGUAGAUGUUUAGUUCAUUCAUGUUCAGGGGUGUAAAGGGGUCGUCUCGGGGGAGUUUUGAAUUUUUUGAACGAGAUUUGGGACGUGUUUAGAUUUUGGAAACAUAAUGUCAACGCGAUUACGUCGUGUCGCAUUACUUAUAGCAUUGAGGCACCUGGCGCGAUGUGUUGACCCCUAAAAAUGGGAUUUAACUAGGAAUUUUAAUUUUGAAGGGUAGUUUUGACUUUUCCCUAUAACCCUAAAUCAUAAUAACAAUUGAUUAAAAUAUCAUUAGGGUAUUACAUGCCAAAAAACACCCCAUUGCUCUCAUGAAUAUAACCCUAGCUCUUGCUCCAAGAUCCAUAGUCCAAUCUUUGAGUUCAAGAUUCCCAAGAAAAGAGUCAAGAUUUGAGUUCCAUUCUUUGAACUAAGUAAUCUAAGGUACGUAGGGCUGUCCUAAUCUCAUGGGCAUGUAUUUUUAUAAGUUUUAAUAAACUUUAAAGUUACUUAAGCAUGUAUAUGGAGUGAGUUAGGAUUUUAUUUUAAAAUAGCGUACAUUGUUGAAACAAUUUGCAAACAACAUCGAAGAAUCAUGGGUUUUCUUUUUCUACAAUUUUGAUUGAUGAUUUUGUACAUAUGAGCCUUGAACAUGAAUGAUAGUUUUGAAUAUAAUUUGCGAACCCUUUUAUACUAUAUGAUGUUGUGUACUUGAUAUGAGAUGAAUUGAAAAUUAUUAAGAGCAUGAUUUAGAGCCCUCUUUUGAUCAUAACAAUUAUGUUUAAUAAAUGUUGGGGCAAGUUUAUAAAUAAAAUUUUGAUAACCAAUAUGCAUGUAUUGAAUGAAUUGAAUUCUUUUGGGUGGUCAUUUUAAUGAUUUAAUUGAGAAGGGCCGUGGAAUGAUGUGAUGUAAAAUACUUACAAGUCGGGGUAUGACAAUACCCCAUUGUGAAUUGCCCUUGAGAGAAUAAGAAAAGAAUUUUUUGUGAGCAUGAUAUAUGUUUUCUUAUAAGAGGCUAAAACCGGGCUUAUAGAGAGUCAGAUGGUUACCCAAAGAAAGCAUGAGUUAGAAGACUCUAUGAUGGAAACCGUGAUUUGCCAACACAGGACUUUGGUACCCUUCUAUGUGAUCUUGUGUACCUUGAUUCAAAUCUUUUCAAUUUGGGACUAUGGUUAGGAGCCCUGCUUUAUAAUCUUGUGCACUACCAUGACAUGUUGAUUUGAUUGGGAUUAUGGCACCCUGCUUUUUGAUCUUGCGUGUCUCCCUUACUGAUAACCCCAAUCCUUGUGGCAAACUUGGUUUGGGGGCUUGGUCACCAAGUCAAGGGCAGAUUUCAUAUAGCCUGUGGAAUUACAGAUUGUAGGGUGUACUAUCAAGCUCAGAAGUAAAAUAAAGAGUGAGUCAUGAUUUCUAAGAAUUGUUUUGAAGUUCAUUAAAGUAUGCCUAUGUGUUUCCACUUAUCUUAUGUUCACUAUUUUAUAAAAUGCCCUCACUUAUAUUGUAUGAAAAAUGUAUUUUGUUUUUGGACUGUUCUAUAGACCAGUACAUCUAUAUUGACCUCUAUAUUUCAGGAUCUGAGGCUCAGUACCGGGGUCCCGCUAAGCAGUAGAUUGAUCUUGUCAAAGUUACAGUUGGUGAGCCUUCCUUAUUUAGAAAGGCCUAGUUAUGGAACACUGUAUUUUAUUUUGGUUUAUGGUCUGACUAGGGGCCUUGUACUAGUUUUAGACAGAUAUUAGCUUCGUGAUUAUUAGAGAUUUCAUAGACUGGUGUUAGAUGUUGAUUGAAUGUUUUAUGGAUUUUAUAAUCAUAUUAUUAGUUGAAAU